rnacentral:rRNA from 1 species
AGAGUUUGAUCCUGGCUCAGGACGAACGCUGGCGGCACGCUUAACACAUGCAAGUCGAACGGAGAACAUUGAGCUUGCUUAAUGUUCUUAGUGGCGGACGGGUGAGUAACACGUGAGUAACCUGCCUCUGAGAGUGGGAUAGCUUCUGGAAACGGAUGGUAAUACCGCAUAACAUCAUGGAUUCGCAUGUUUCUAUGAUCAAAGAUUUAUCGCUCAGAGAUGGACUCGCGUCUGAUUAGCUAGUUGGUAAGGUAACGGCUUACCAAGGCGACGAUCAGUAGCCGGACUGAGAGGUUGAUCGGCCACAUUGGGACUGAGACACGGCCCAGACUCCUACGGGAGGCAGCAGUGGGGAAUAUUGCACAAUGGGGGAAACCCUGAUGCAGCGAUGCCGCGUGGAGGAAGAAGGUUUUCGGAUUGUAAACUCCUGUUGAAGAGGACGAUAAUGACGGUACUCUUUUAGAAAGCUCCGGCUAACUACGUGCCAGCAGCCGCGGUAAUACGUAGGGAGCGAGCGUUGUCCGGAAUUACUGGGUGUAAAGGGAGCGUAGGCGGGAUGGCAAGUCAGAUGUGAAAACUAUGGGCUCAACCCAUAGACUGCAUUUGAAACUGUUGUUCUUGAGUGAGGUAGAGGUAAGCGGAAUUCCUGGUGUAGCGGUGAAAUGCGUAGAGAUCAGGAGGAACAUCGGUGGCGAAGGCGGCUUACUGGGCCUUUACUGACGCUGAGGCUCGAAAGCGUGGGGAGCAAACAGGAUUAGAUACCCUGGUAGUCCACGCC